rnacentral:rRNA from 1 species
AUUGAACGCUGGCGGCAUGCCUUACACAUGCAAGUCGAACGGUAACAGGUCUUCGGAUGCUGACGAGUGGCGAACGGGUGAGUAAUACAUCGGAACGUGCCUAGUAGUGAGGGAUAACUACUCGAAAGAGUGGCUAAUACCGCAUGAGAUCUACGGAUGAAAGCAGGGGAUCGCAAGACCUUGUGCUACUAGAGCGGCCGAUGGCAGAUUAGGUAGUUGGUGGGAUAAAAGCUUACCAAGCCGACGAUCUGUAGCUGGUCUGAGAGGACGAUCAGCCACACUGGGACUGAGACACGGCCCAGACUCCUACGGGAGGCAGCAGUGGGGAAUGUUGGACAAUGGGCGAAAGCCUGAUCCAGCAAUGCCGCGUGCAGGAUGAAGGCCUUCGGGUUGUAAACUGCUUUUGUACGGAACGAAAAGCCCCGGGUUAAUACCCUGGGGUCAUGACGGUACCGUAAGAAUAAGCACCGGCUAACUACGUGCCAGCAGCCGCGGUAA